rnacentral:rRNA from 1 species
UACGUAGGGUGCGAGCGUUAAUCGGAAUUACUGGGCGUAAAGCGUGCGCAGGCGGCGCGUUAAGACAGGUGUGAAAGCCCCGAGCUUAACUUGGGAAUUGCGCUUGUGACUGGCGUGCUGGAGUGUGGCAGAGGGAGGUGGAAUUCCGCGUGUAGCAGUGAAAUGCGUAGAUAUGCGGAGGAACACCGAGGGCGAAGGCAAUCCCCUGGGCCUGCACUGACGCUCAUGCACGAAAGCGUGGGGAGCAAACAGG